UCUUGGAAGUAAAUAGAGAGAUCUACCAGAGUACUACGAAUAUAAAAAUUUAAAACUCAAAGAGCUUGGCGGUGCUUUAGACCUUUCAGGGGAACCUGUCUUAUAAUCGACAAUCCACGUUAUACCUAACCUUUUUUUGUAUAACAGUUUGUAUACCGUCGUCGUCAGGUAACUUUUAAAAAUUUAACAGUUAGCAGAUAAAAUUAAAUAAUUUUAAACGUCAGAUCAAGGUGCAACUAAUAGAAAGGUCAGGAUGGGUUACAAUUAUAAUUAAUAAUAAUUACGGAAAAUUAGUUGAAACACUAUUUUAAAGGAGGACUUGAAAGUAAAAUAUAUUCAUCUAUAUAUAUGAAUUGAAUAAGGCUCUGAAGCGUGC
rnacentral:rRNA from 1 species